rnacentral:lncRNA from 10 species
CCGUUCCUGAUAAAAAUGGCAAACUGUGCCUAAACUGUGCAGACCUUAUGGUUUAUGCUAAACACUUGCCUUGCUUCUGGAGGCCUGGAAUUUUGGUACCUGCUAGGUAAAGUGUGUCUACGUUACCAUCCGCAAUAAAAACCCUGGGUACUGAGUCCGUGAUGAACAUCCUUGGUAGACAACAUUUCACAUGUGUUGUUACAAAUUGUAGGUGGGGAACUAAGAGUGUCCUGUGUGACUCAAAUGGGAGAAGACUCCUGGUUUCCCUGGACUUAGCUUCAUGUGCCUUUUCCCUUUGCUGCUUUUCUUUGUAUUCUUUCACCAUAGUAAGUCAUAGAUGUGAAUAUGACUAUAUCUGAGCCCUGUGAGUCCUUCUAGUGAACAACCUUGUGGUUGUCUUGGGCACUUCCAACACAACUUGUCUUGGUGAUAUUUGGCCAGCAAAUGUCAACAUUACCAAAGAAAAGUUGGAGGUGGAUGGCUUUCACAAUAAAAUUUAUUUACAGAACUC